rnacentral:lncRNA from 1 species
UUGGCAUUUAUUAGAGCCCCACACCUUCAAGUGAAGUAAAUGGAGCAGAUACCCUUUCAGAAGCAGCAUAUUUCUAUGGAGAUCCAAAGGAGAGCUUGUUCUUAGCUAGUCUUAAUGAAAAAUUUUCGGGCCUUGUUUGCACAGGCAGAAGGGUCUGCAGUCCUGGACAAAUCCCACCAGAACUAACUUUCUUGGCAACAGUGAAGAGCUCUGAAUCAGAGGGUUGGAAGGAAUCUAAGUAAGACAUCUAGUCCAUCACCCUGCCUCCAGGCAAUUUUCCAGGCAGAUGGGUAUUUAUCCUGUUCUUAAAGCUCUCCACUGAUCUGAAGAAAAAAGACAAGGGUAUUUAUAUCCAUGAUGUUUUCUUACCAAAUGUGUAAUAUUUGCCACCUACACCAUCUGCAGCAGUUCAGAAUGUAGUAAGAUUGAAAGUGAAACUCAUUGAUCUCAGGAAAGAUAAUGAAAUAAAAUAUUUUGCUUUAUAUAAUUUCCCUCAAAGCUUUUGAUGGAGCAUCUAUAAAAUGGCAUCCAUAGUUUAGGGGAAAGAAUGACAGCCUCGCUUUACAAUUGACAAGCACCGUAAUUUUCAGAAUGCAGGUAGGAAAAGCUCAGUUGUUUCUCUUAGUGUGGUUCUGUACAAGAUAAGACCAAGGUCAUAGGCUUACUCUCUGGGUAGGUUAGCUGUGUUUUGUUCCAAGGCUUUAACCACAGCUCUCAAGUAGACAUCCUUCACCACAAACACUUUAAGAGAAUAUGAAUGAAUUAUCAAAAUUUAUGUUUUAUGAGGGUGAAGAGUUAUCCCUCCAGUUAUGAGCACCAUCAAUUUUCUACCUGAAAUAAACCUGUUUGUUUAGUGUUUGGAUACAGAAAUGAAAUGUGAAGAUCUGCUGCCCAGAUGAUGUAAAGAACUGCCCAAACUUCAAUCCCUUUAAUCUGAUGUUCCAUGAAUCUACCAUGACAGCAACCUCUAGUGAUUUCACUGCCAUCCCCAGGUAUGUUCCUCUAACAUCCUUUUUCUAGAACUUGCCUCAGCAUAACAAUCCAAAUAUUGGGAUAUUUAUCCUUGACAUUUGCUGGUGGGGAGUGAUGCCACCUCCACCCACAUGGCCUCAGCGAGCAGAUCAUAGUCAGGCCAAUGAACAUGAGAGAGAUCUGUAAGAAGCCCCACUCUCUGGAGGAGCCUGCAGGCAAACCACAGAUAACCCCACCUCUAGCAUCCAGCCCUUUGUUCCAAGUGUCAUAGAAGUGGCUCCAUCCUUAAACUUUCUCUUGGAUCAUUUCCAGUGGUGUUGGAGGCAGUGAAGGAUGUUUUUUUAAGGAAUCUCUGUGUCAGAAGCUAUUUUUUUGCUGGGAGAAAGUCUGGCAUUCAGAGCUUACCCGUGAAUGAAUUCAGACCAAGUCUUAUGGAAGCAACCAGGAUUUUAGACAGGAGUCACUCAAAAGAGUGAGUUUUAUAGGAUUUACUCUCCCAAAUACAGAAAAGUGGGAGCUCCCUGGCAGGGAGGUGGGGGUGGGGGGGUUGUGUGGAUGAAGUGAGCUGAGACAGGAGAGUCAGGGCCAGGCAUUCUGUGCUGCCUACGGAGACAGUAAACCUAAGACCAAUCCAAGCCUGCAUGAAUAUCUGACAUAUCUGAUCAAAAUGUGAGACAAGGUAGCACAUUUCCUGGGGGAAAGUCAUUCUCAGCAUCUAGCAGGGCCUGAGUUGUUACUGAAAGAGGUCAAUGGACAAAAUAGUAGAAGUAGUCUGGCCCCACUCCCCUGGCAGGAUCUGGGGAAGGGGGAAAGUCAGGGUCCAGCUGACUCGGGGGAGAUAAGUUGGUCUGUAUUCCCAGAGGGGAACCACGAAGAGAACCGGGACCAAGGAGCCAGCCCACAUCACAGCUAGAGUACGAAACAAGGCACACUGAAAGGGUGCUAGGUGGAGAGGCAAAGGCCUGCCUGAUUCCUACAGCUGACGGAGAACAUCUACUGAAUCGGUACCAUGUGUGUACUGUGCUUGUCAAUGGUACAAACAUACCUCAUUGGUUCUUACGAGGACUCUCAGAGGCAGCCACUGCUUUCCAAAAAUGCUCCAUUGAUAGAGUUCGGAUAAAUAUGUAGCUUGGAAGAUGUUCCAGGCUCUCACCACUCACUCAGUCCUCGUCACACCCUUAGAGAAUCACCAUGCACAUUCAAAGCACUGAGACAUCCUGUGUUAAAAGAAACUAUUUUCAUUGGUUUAUUAACCCAGAAUUUCCAAUGAAAUCCCUUCCCCAGCAAAUAUGCCUACGUUUUUGAUCCUUCAGAAACAUUUACAGUCAUCUUUCUCACCUAAUGUCAAAAAGGACUCAAAAUUUCUGAGAAAUGCACGUGCUUUGUAACACAAAGCAUUCAGCAAAUGUAAAAGAGUAUUCUUUUGGUCAAUUUGUGCUGGUGGAAAUGAGUAAAAUGAGUGAUAAAGCGUUCAUGACCUAGUGGUGCUUAAGUUUGGAUUAGUGAGGAAUCUACCAAGACCAUAGCCUUGUGUGGCUGAAAGUCUAAAUUUUUGGCAUGAUAUAGAUCACAUAUGGGGAAUAUAUUGGGCUUUGUAAAAAAUUACAAAGUGAAUAAAUGAAUGUCAGAAAGUAGAAACAAUGUCAUAUAUUCCAUCACUGUAGGACAAAGUUUCCUUUGUGGGGGACCAUAAACUCCUCCUCUACUCUGCCUGAAUAGCAGCAUGGUUUUGCCAGGAUGAGCCUCCCAUUGUGAUUAUGAACUCACCGAGUAUUUGCUUUAGAAAUUGUCUUUUCUGCCAGUUCCUUCCAAGCAGAGCAUAUUCUUCUUAUAGGGACCGGUAGAUUUUCCACUACCCCUUCAACCCCAAGUCAGUAACCAGCCCCAGUGCCACUGCCUCUAAGGAGGACCUGGGUCUUGGGCAGUUGGACUUACAGACUGGUUAGGAGAGGAGGGAAGAUGAUCUCAUCAGAAAUUCUGUAUUAAAGAACAAAACAGACAAAAACUAUUUUAAUAAGGGACUUCUCAUUGGCAUUCCCAUUGUGGCUCAGCAGUAAUGAACCCAACUAGUAUCCACGAGGAUAUGGGUUCAACCCCUGGCUCCACUCAAUGGGUUAAGGAUUCAGCAUUGCCGUGAGCUAUGGUGUAGGUGGCAGAUCUGGCUCGAGCCCUGAGUUGCUGUGGCUGUGGUGUAAGCCGGCAGCUACACCUCCAAUUCAACCCAUAGCCUGGGAACUUCCAUAUGCCAAGAGGCUGACCCUAAAAAGCAAAAGAAAAAAAUUAAAUUAAAUUUUUAAAAAAUAAGGGGCUUCUUAGGGCCUUUGGGAGCAGGCAUACUAUAUAGCAUUUUCCAAGCUGUGAAAUUUCUCACAAAACUCUGCCCAUGGAGAAUUUAGGGAGAAAGACGCCAGAAGUUUACCUAAUGUAUUCCACCAGCGCUGCCUCCGAGGGUGAUUCUAGAGCAUGAAUGAGACAAUGAGCAUGAUAUUCCCUAGCAGAGCUUCAAAGAAAUGAUCUUCCUUACUAACCUGCAAGUACUGCAGAGACGUGAUCCCUAUUUUGUGAGUGGGGAAAAUGAAGUUCACAGAGGUUGAGUGACUGUCUUCAGUCCAACAGCCAAGCCUGUGUCUUUAGUCUCCAAAUCCCAAAAAACCUUUCCCCUGGGCCACUGCUUCUGGCCGCCAGGCAGCUCUCUCACCCCAUCACUACCUCAUUCCCUACAUCAAUGUCCCAUCUACCCAGAAAUUGACCUUGCUCAAAGCAUUCUAUGUAAACCAAGUGGAGCCUCACGUUUGUGAAUUCAAUUCUCUUGAGGGUUGUGAUCAGAAAACAUGUGCUAUCCAAUUUUUCCCACACAUGCCCCUUCUUAGCUGGCCUAUCACUGGGGGCCGGAGCAGUGUGGUCUGUUUGAGGCCAAUAAUCAUAUCACCAUUGUAAUGAGUGGCAAAUCCUAUGUAAUUUACACAUUAAAAGGAGGCUGAGAUGCAUGGAAAAACCCAGCCCCCAUUUGUCUAAUGAAAUUAAAGCUCUUAGCCAAAUACUGGUGCUGAAAAGAGAUGUUUGGGAAGGGCUCUCCCGGGCUCUCUCUCGCCCUGCCUCUGAAGAAGAGGGUGAGUGUUCUUUAUUCAUGAUCCCGCCUCUACCUAAAUCACUCCCACAAUGGGACCUCUAAACCAAGGGGCCCUGUCUGGGAGCAUGAUUUACGCAGAGCUGAGGCCAGGCGGGGCUGACAAAGGCAUUAUGACUAGUUCUUUUCAAUGACAAUUGGAGGGAAAACGAAAGCAGCAAAGAUGUUCUGUGACUUGGCAGGCAAAGCAUGAAAAAACUGCCCCAGCCUCCUCCCCCAGACGGCACAAAAGAAAGUUUGGAACCAUACCUGAUAAAGCAAUUAUUUUAAGCUAUUUUUCUCAUUUGGUGGUCACUGGACAUUGUCAUAAAAUAAGUGUGAAUGACACAGCCCUUGGAGCCACCACAGUGAGAUUAAGCUCUGGAGUGAAAGAUUGGUCCCAUGACAAGGCAGUAAGAGAUGGCUGGCUCCUCCCUCCGACGGCUGUCCAAAUUCCCUCCGAGUUCCCCAUGACUCUGAAACCCUCCGUUAAGUCUGGGAACCAGCCAUGUUGACAUGAAAUAAAACAAAACAAGCCAAAUAUAACUGAGACUGGGUCUGAAAGUCAAGAAUCUACCAUCAUAAAGCUAGUUAGUCUAGGAGAUGCUCUUCUUUGGUCCAUGAACAGUAGAUACAUGGAAAUACAGUGCACUAAUUGGGUCUGAGAAUAUGAGCAAAGGCAUCAAGGCAAUAAUCUAUGUAGAGGAACAGCCAGAGUAUGUAAGAAAACAACUAAUAUCCAUUAUCUACAGCUUAACUUCUCAAAGGCAAAUGCAUUUGAAAAAGAAAGAAAUGCUCACAGGACACGUUCACACCCACAACUCUG